rnacentral:rRNA from 1 species
GACGAACGCUGGCGGCGUGCCUAAUAAAUUCAAGUCGAACGCAGUGGGGACGGGUGAGUAACACGUGGGUAACCUCCCAUCAGAGGGGAUAACACUUGGAAACCGGUUCUAAACCGAUAUUGAUGGUGGGACCCGCGUUGCAUUAGCUAGUUGGUGAGGUAACUGCUCACCAAGGCUACGAUGCAUCGCCGACCGGAGAGGGUGAUCGGCCACACUGGGCAUGAGACACGGUACAGACUCCUACGAUAGACAGCAGUAGGGAAUCUUCGGCAAUGGACGAAAGUCUGACCGAGCAACGCGGCGUGAGUGAAGAAGGUUUUCGGAUCGUAAAACGCUGUUGUUAGAGAAGCGGUAUCUAACCAGAAAGCCACGGCUAACUACGUGCCAGCAGCCGCGGUAAUAC